UUGGCUGGAUUUAGAGACACUUCGCUACUGAAAUUGUUUUCUGGAGAGUGUAAUCUGUUUGAGAUUGGUUAAAUCUCCCAACCCAUCUGGGAUUUCACCAAAGACGAGUGACUCUGCUUCGGCUAUAUUGCAGCAGCAAGGAGUGAACAACGAUUAGGGUUUCAGGCGAUCCUCCAUCGUUGGAGCUAUGAAUCCAUUGACGCUAGUGAAACGAAUUCAGAAUAUCAAUUCGAAAGAAGCUGCGUUAGGUAUUUCUGAACAAGCUUCCUGGCACGCCAAGUACAAAGAUUCUGCUUAUGUCUUUGUCGGAGGCAUUCCCUUUGAUCUCACUGAAGGCGAUCUUCUUGCUGUUUUUGCACAGAUGUAAUUAAAGUUUCUUUGGAGAGUUCUAUAAUACCAAGAGUCCAAUUGGCAGAGGGACUUCUUAUUAGUGUUGAUCCAUUGUGCGAAAUUGAUGGAGUUCCAAUUGGCCCUGGAUUUUGCAAAGUUUUUGUUUUAAAAGCGAACAAGCCGAACGCUGUUUUGGAAACAACAUCCCAAUGUCUUAGAACAGUUGGAGAAGCUAUGGGAAGAUACAUUGUGUGGCGCUCGAUUCAUGUGCAACCUUUUGAAUUCAAACCUUUUGAGUACGUGAUAUCUUCACAUAUCGAUAUGGGAGCUUACUAUUGAUAUCAAAACAAGCUACAUUAUAUCUGUUUUUAUUUUUUUAUUUCUAUUGUCGAUACUAAAAAUUUGAGUUCUUCAAUUUCAAAAAUUAUUAGUAUUGUUAGAGGUUAAUUUAUAUAUUUUUGUAAAUAAUAUUUGAUUGACAAUUGUUACAAGGUACAUAUAUUAUUCUUGGUAUAUGAUUUUUUGAA